CCGAUAGAGUUGACCAGGGUAUUUGGUCCCAGGAUAAUGCGGGUGCUCUGGGGCCACUGCGUGCAGACCAAGUUGUGUUCUCCUAGCAAUAUUUUACGGAUGUUUUCUGCACCAGUUACCCGGAUAACAGGCUUUCCUAAAAGACAAAGGUGGGUAAAGGACAGAGACUGGUGGGAGUGACAGGACCUGGAGAGUGGCCUGCAGUGUGUCAAGUUGUGGUGUCAUUGUUGGCGGGAAUUGAUCCUUGUCACAUGUCCUGUUCUGGCAGGACCUGAGUCCUAGGACUACCUAGCUUGAUGACUCCUGGCUUUCCCCAGUCCACCUGGUCAUGCUGCUGCUCCAGUUUCAACUGUUCUACUUGCAGCUAUGGAACCCUGACCUGUUCACCGGAUGUGCUACCUCGUCCCGGACUUGCUGUCUUCGACUCCCCCCCCACCCUCUCCCUUCCUCUCUCUCUCUGUACCGCACCUGCUGUCUCGACCUCUGAAUGCUUGGCUAUGGCCAACUGACUGACAUUUACAGUACUCCUGAGGUGCUGACCUGUUGCACCCUCUACAACCACUGUGAUUAUUAUUUGACCCUGCUGGUCAUCUAUGAAUCUUUGAAAAGCUUGAAGAACGAUCUGGCCUGAA